rnacentral:lncRNA from 1 species
AGAAAAACAUAAGUUUCGUCCAUGAUGAAUCCGUAGUAUACACCCCCCUCAGGGAGUGGCAGAAGAGUGGACGGAUUGAGAACUUGACAUCUUUGGAGGGUAAUGUUGUCAGGCAACAAAAGAUGACAUUGAAGGCGAAGAUGCCUGGCAGGAGUAACAUGCUUAAGCUGGACCUGGUUGACUAUGGCAGAAAUGUCAUGAGGGGCCAAGACAACCAGGGGGUGGCCAAGGACAACAUCCCCAGUUCUUUCAAUGAGCUCUCUGGCAGCAAAGACGGCCCGAAGGCAAGAGGGACGUCCUCUGGCCACAAUAUCCAGUUGGCAGGAGAAAAAUCCAAUAGGCCCUUGGCGGCCUCCAGGACCAUGGGCCUGAGUGAGUACUCCUGUUGCAUGGCCUUGUCUUUCAGAAACAAACAAUGUGAAGGGUUUGGUAUAGUCUGGUAGGCCAAGAGCAGGAGCAGAAGCAAUAGCACGUUUGAGAGAACAGAAGUUGUCAAGGGCUUCUGUGGACAAGCAUAAUGGGCCUGACUUGAGAGCAUCAUAAAGAGGUUGCAUAAGGAGCGAGGCUUCUGGGAUCCAUGCUCGGCAAUAGGAAAUGAGGCCUAGGAAGGCGUGUAGUGACUUCGAGGUCCUUGGAGGUGGAAUGUCCAGUACCGCUCUAACUCGGUCACGGGUAAGAUGUCUGGUUCCCUGAGACAGACAAUGGCCAAGGAAAAUAACAGUAGGUUGGCAGAAUUGCAGCUUGAGACGUGAAGCUUUACAUCCUUGUUCUGCUAGGUAGCAAAGAAGAUUAAGUGAGCAUUGUUCUGUUGUGGGUAUAUCAUCU